UCGCUCAGGUCUCUCCUCAGCACCCACACGAAUUAACCUUUCGCCUUUUACUAAAGGUUACCGUGGGGAGGGGCAGUAUAAUGAGCCUAUAGGCCAAUUUUUGCGUGGCCCUACCUGUUUGGGUGGGGC
rnacentral:snRNA from 1 species